rnacentral:rRNA from 1 species
UCUAACAUGUGCGCGAGUCAUUGGGUGGUCUAAACCUAAAGGCGCAAUGAAAGUGAAGCCCCUCGCCGGGGGCCCGAGGGAAGAUGGUACCGCGCGUUCGUCCGAGGCGCCGUACGCUCACGAGGCGUGCGGUUACCGAGACACCGCGAUCCGCAUUCCCGGGGCGUCUCGUUCUCACUGCGAGAUGAGGCGCACCCAGAGCACACACGUUGGGACCCGAAAGAUGGUGAACUAUGCCUGACCAGGACGAAGUCAGGGGAAACCCUGAUGGAGGUCCGUAGCGAUUCUGACGUGCAAAUCGAUCGUCGGAGCUGGGUAUAGGGGCGAAAGACUAAUCGAACCAUCUAGUAGCUGGUUCCUUCCGA